AAAUCUUUAAAAGAUGUUUAUACUAAAAUUGGAAUUAUACAGAAAAGAUUAGUGUGGCCUCUGCGUAAGGAUGGCACGCAAAUUCACGAAGCAUUCCAUAUUUUA